CCUACGGGAGGCAGCAGUGGGGAAUAUUGCGCAAUGGGCGAAAGCCUGACGCAGCGACGCCGCGUGGGUGAUGAAGGCCUUCGGGUUGUAAAGCCCUGUCGGGUGGAACGAACGAUCUGGCGGCGAAUAACCGCCGGGUGUGACGGUACCACCGAAGGAAGCCCCGGCUAACUACGUGCCAGCAGCCGCGGUAAGACGUAGGGGUCGACCGUUGUUCGGAUUUACUUGGCGGAAAGCGCGCGUAGGCGGCAAAAACCCUCGGCUUAACCGAGGUUCCGCAUCCGAUACUGUCUGGCUCGAGUCUAGGAGAGGAAAGCGGAAUUCCAAGUGUAGCGGUGAAAGGCGUAGAUAUUGGGAGGAACACCGGUGGCGAAGGCGGCUUUCCGGACUAGUACUGACGCUGAGGCGCGAAAGCUAGGGGAGCGAACGGGAUUAGAUACCCCGGUAGUC
rnacentral:rRNA from 1 species